UGGUUAGUUUUACAACACGUGUGCAGACAAUUGACAGUUACCAUCUGAUUUCAGCUUUGUGCAUCAUAUCGACCGAGUAACAGAAUCGAACUAUCUACCCUCAUUACAUGAUGUUUUGCAUAGCACUGUUCAUUUUUAUGGGAUAGCUGAGUAUCUUUAUCAUAUUGGUGAUCUUUUACUCAGAAUUAUUGAUAUACGAGGCCCUAGGACAGAAAGACGUAAAUGGAUUCAUUAUUUUGAAAAUAUUCCAGCCCUGAUGUUUAUCGCUGCUCUAAGUGAUUAUGAUCAAAUUGAAAUUUAUAACACAAACCGUAUGGAUAUAGCUAAAUCCCUGUUUAAGACAUGUAUUAAUAAUCAAUGGUUCAGGAACUGUGGAAUAAUGCUGCUUUUGAAUAAAUAAGAUGUCUUAGAAGAAAAAAUCCUGGUGUCCCAUCUUGUGGAUUACUUCCCUGAAUUUAAAGGACCAAGGAAGGAUGCACAGGCAGCAAGACAGUUCAUUUUGCAGAUGUUUUUAGAAUUAAAUACUGACCCGGAUCGGAUCAUCUAUGAACAUUUCACCUGUUUGUUCGACACAGAGAAUGUGAGAUAUAUUCCUGUAGUUGUUAAAGAUGUGAUAUUAGAGCGAAAUUUGAAGACAUACCAAGGAAAGUCCUGUUCUUGCUUUUGACUAUUUCCAUUGGAGAUUAAUGAGAGCUGUCAAGAACUAUAACGUCAAACAGAUAUUGUCAGUAAAAACGUUCUUGCAACCUUGCUUAGUAAAUGUCCGUGGCCAAAUAAAAAAAUGAGUUAUUGAGGCGACAUUAGUUUAACGAUGCUCAUAUAUGGGAAAUAUAAUACAACAACAAAAACACAUCGAGGAAACACAUCCAAACGGAGGGAAUCCAAUGAACUCAAAGAGGAGCCAAACCGGUGCGUUGACAAGGUAAGCGUCUCCUGCUAUGCAUGCAUCACCCGCCAUGUGAAUCAUCACAAAGUCGUCAAACCGCAAUCGGGAAUAGGCCACACUCAAUAGAAUUAAGACCGCUAAACCUAGUUUGAAGUCGUCCAUCCUUCUCUAUAUCGAGGAAAAUAUCAAGAUAUGAAGCAGACCUUCUACCUUCGAUAGCAUCCUUAUUAUCAAUUUCGCUGUGCUAUAUGUGAUGUAAGCACUAUUUGAAAUGAUGGUUAUUGGGUAACAGGACAUCAUUAUGUCUGAAUGUGAAAUUAAGGAACUUUGCAUGCUGCAUUUUUUUUUCUUUUUUUUCUGUGAGAAGGUCUUGAAUCAACUGUGCUUCAUAUGAGAACAAAAACAAAUCGGGAAGUUGUGGUGCAGAUUUAAAUACCGACUGUCUGCUGAAACAUAAAUACUCCAAACUCAACAAAUAUGUUCAAUUUGCCAAUUAAAAAGUUUAGCAUUUGAUGAUAUGACCUUCGGUGUAUUUGUUGUGGGAAUCAGUGUGGUUAUUCACAAGUAAGAUUUUUCAUGACACAAAACAUAGAAUUUAUAUUUGUGUAUCCCAUUUUGUAAAACAAAAUGUUUUUA